UAGACAAGGUUCCUGGCAGAAAGCUCACUGGACCUGGAGGGAGAACUAGCCCAGGCCCUGGGAACAUUUUUUGGAUUAAAGACUCAUGGUAUGCUAUUAGGAAAGCGCUAACCGAGUUUUAUUUGAAAGCUGAAUUGCGACUGGAUCAUAGAGCAAAUGGAAAGAGAUCUUCCUUGUACUGGUUAACUCUUCAAAUGCUUGCAACAGUCAGGGCUGGGCCAAGAGGAAGUAAGGCAUCAAGAACUCAAUUUGAGUCAGCCACUUGCAGCCUCCCAGCAUGUCCCUUGGAUUCAAACCCAGAAUGCUACCUGAGAUUGAUCUGAAACAGAAGCUUCCCAGCCACUCCUCUACUCAAAACGUCUACUAUUUCACAAUAUUAUUAAAGCCCAACUGUUCACAAUAUUAUAAAACCUAAAAACUACUGGAUGAAAUUAUUUGGUGAAUCAAAUAGGAGAAACCAUAAUUUGGUAUUACUAAUUUCUUAUUAUCUCUUCUUCACAAUUUAUCUUCACCUCUAAAUAGACUUCAUUUACUGUAUAAAACUAUAAACUUGUAAAGUAUAAAGAUAUACAUCUACAAACUACUGAAAGGCAGGACUGCCUAUUUCAUAGUACCCUCAGCAUAAUCCACAGAUGAUUUUGGUGUUUAGUAUAUGAUGUAAUUGUAUAGCAUACCUACUCUUUGAUGGAGUACCCAUUGUAUGAACCAUCUCAAGAAUAAAAGCUGUUUUGCUCCCACUGUGAUACAUUUCAAAGUGCGUCAGCAUGUGUGCCU